AUGACAAUUUUGUAUGCUACAAGGUGUGAUUCAAGUUUCCAUGCUAAGCUUAAGGUUACAUCAGUUUUACACAAAUUAUAUGACCUAAGUCAUGCUUCUGCAAGUACACUUCAUGGUCUACAUCUUUGUAAAUUCUUCGACGCCACAAGUUUCACGUUGGCCUCAGUUUGUCUUCUUCUUCAAACCCUUAUCAUUCAUGUUAUCUCAUCCUUUAUGCACUCACCAUUGUUGCCAUCACAUGAAACAAGGCAAAGUAAACACAAAAUUGUUAGUAAGAAAUCAUAA